rnacentral:rRNA from 1 species
CGUGUAGGCGGCCUGAUGUGUCAGAUGUGAAAGCCCUGGGCUCAACCCAGGAAGUGCAUUUGAAACUGUCAGGCUUGAGUAGGGGAGAGGGAAGUGGAAUUCCUGGUGUAGAGGUGAAAUUCGUAGAUAUCAGGAGGAACACCGGUGGCGAAGGCGACUUCCUGGCCCUAUACUGACGCUGAGACGCGAGAGCGUGGGUAACAAACA